CCGGGCUCUCCUUCUCCUGGUUGUGCGUCUUCUACGUGGAUCGGUCUCCUCCAGCCAAGGGUCUGUGCGCCCCCUCCUCUUCUCAGACUCCUCUGCCCUCGCCCCUCCCUCUCACAUUCCCAACUCCCAAGGACAACUUGUCGCUCACUUCAGAAGCUGGGGCUUCUUUCCGUCCCCAGACUCUGCCUUCUCCCCUACUUCUUUUGUCUAUUUCUGCGUUUGACGGCUUCUCUGGGAAGCAUGCCUCGGAUCUGUUUCUCUCUUGUCUGUUAUCUCUCUCUCUUUCUCUCUCUCUCUCUCUCUCUCUCUCACACACACACACACACACACGCACGCACACACACACACCCUCUCUCUCCUCUCUGCCGGCCAUCUCGGCGCCUUUCCUCCGUGGCUCUGGCCUUUCAGAAGGCGUAAGGCCCUUUCUUUGAGCCGCGGUGAGGUGGUCCGACGGCGCCCCGGGGAGGGGGCAGGGCCGUCGGCGCCGCCGCCCCAGACCUAGACACUGCGCCCAGAGGCCUCUCAGGGACGGGGACGCGGCCGACGACCCGGAGCAGCCCGGCCCCCGGCCCCCGGCGCCAUCACCACGGUCCCUAGGCUCUGUCGCGCCCAAAGCCUCGGGCUCCUGCAGCCUGUGAAGACGCGCGGAGGACGGCGCGGUUCGGAGAGAGGGCGCCAAAGGCGACGCGCCAAAGGCGACGCGACGGCGGCCAGCUCCAGGCCGAGCCCUGCGUGUCUGAAGGAAGCGGCCCCUCCGCCGGCGCAGGACACAGAGCUGCGAGAGGAUCUCGUUCAGCGGGGACUCAACGCCAGGGCGCCGCCUAGAGGUCGGCCGCGGCCUCAGCCUCACACGCCAGCGACCGCUGAGCUGCUUCCCCAGCCGGAGCCAGAAAUUGCAAAAAAAAAUUAAUCCAGCUCGGGUCUCAGGGACGCAGCUUCUGGCACCUCUACUUCUCUGAGAUCCAACCCCCCAACAACAAUGAAGCCUAGGAAAGGAGACGGGCCAGGAAGGCUCAGAAACUUUUAUUCUUGGAAAGGGGUCUCAAUUUCGGUUUUUGUUUUGUUUUGAGGAUCCUGUGUUCUCCAUCUGUGUCUUCAUUGCCUCCUCUCAUCAUCCAAAUUGUCCAGCCCCCUCCAAUUAUGCUACAACUCUGUUUUAUCUUCAAGGAGGGAAGGAAGUAGGGAAAAGUUACCCCUAAAUCUUACAGCUUGGUCAUCUGCAUUUUCAGUUUUCUGAAUAAUUUGGAGAUCGGUGUGCUUUUGGAAGAGUAUCCAGAAAACUGUUGAGGGUGAAAAGAAACGUUGCCUAAGUGGCCUUUACUCAGAGUGAUCAUCAGCUCGAUAAUAUCUGAGUGACAUUCAGGAGGGGGCUUGUUGGCACGAGUGCCUCUGUCGGUGGGUGUCUGAGCUGAGUAUUUGAAAGUUGACUGCUCUGGGGCCAGGCGACCUCGGAAUGAGAAGGCUGGCUGGCAUCUAUGGGAAUGGGUUUGAGGUGUCAUUUGGCCCCAGGCAGAGAGUUUUAUUUUUUAGGCCGGGAUCCAUGGCCUGGGUUCUGGGGAUGUGGGCAGAGGGAAGCCACAAAGCCCCUGAAAAGCGUAUGCAAAACUUGUGUAUGCACAGGUGUGUCAUUUUAAGGCUGUGGCCUCUUCAGAUUUUCCAGAGUCUAAGACUCUAAAAUGGUUCAAUCUCCUUUCCACGGCCCAGGGAGCCACAGAGAUCCUGGUCAGCAAGGGGCAGGGAGCCAGCACACUAACUUGCCCCCGCUUCAGGCCCUGGGGUGGGGCAGGGGCUCUGGAGUAACAGUCUUGACUGGUGUGGAAACUGCUGGCCUCUCAGUCUGGCCCUCCGCCCAUCGGUAACAGCUCCCAGAGGCAAACCCUGAUAGGAGGGGUGACAGCUGGUGGCUGCCAUCACAGUAUUUUUAAUAAAAAUAUAGCAUGAUAAAGAGCGAAA
rnacentral:lncRNA from 1 species